AUUCGCCCUUAGAGUUUGAUCCUGGCUCAGGACGAACGCUGGCGGCGUGCCUAACACAUGCAAGUCGAGCGGGGACAUGGAGGAGCUUGCUCCGAGAUGUUCUAGCGGCGGACGGGUGAGUAACGCGUGAGCAACCCGCCUUUCACAGGGGGAUAACGCAUCGAAAGAUGUGCUAAUACCGCGUAAGACCACAGCACCGCAUGGUGCAGGGGUCAAAGGAGCAAUCCGGUGAAAGAUGGGCUCGCGUCCGAUUAGCUAGUUGGUGAGAUAACAGCCCACCAAGGCGACGAUCGGUAGCCGACCUGAGAGGGUGAUCGGCCACAUUGGAACUGAGAGACGGUCCAGACUCCUACGGGAGGCAGCAGUGGGGAAUAUUGGGCAAUGGGCGAAAGCCUGACCCAGCAACGCCGCGUGAGGGAAGAAGGGUUUCGGCUCGUAAACCUCUGUCCUAUGGGACGAAGGAAGUGACGGUACCAUAGGAGGAAGCCCCGGCUAACUACGUGCCAGCAGCCGCGGUAAUACGUAGGGGGCGAGCGUUGUCCGGAAUGAUUGGGCGUAAAGGGCGCGUAGGCGGCCUGAUAAGUCUGGAGUGAAAGUCCUGCUUUCAAGGUGGGAAUUGCUUUGGAUACUGUCGGGCUGGAGUGCAGGAGAGGAAAGCGGAAUUACCGGUGUAGCGGUGAAAUGCGUAGAGAUCGGUAGGAACACCAGUGGCGAAGGCGGCUUUCUGGACUGAAACUGACGCUGAGGCGCGAAAGCGUGGGGAGCAAACAGGAAUAGAUACCCUGGUAGUCCACGCGGUA
rnacentral:rRNA from 1 species